CAGCUGGGAGGUGUGGGAGCUGCCUGGGGCGGAAGCGUGCAGCCCCUUUCUGCUGAGCAGUUCACUCUGUUACCUGAUACACCACACGCUGCUCAUCAAUACAUCAGAAGAGCCAUCCAGUUUUGUAGGAGAGAUACAGCAGAGAUGUUUCUGCUUAACUGCAAACAUCUCUAAAGGUGUUUCAUGAGUGUAAGAUACAACUGGACGGGUCAGUGACAAUAGGAUGAGGAUGUAGUACUGCUUGCCAGUUGCCUUGGGAAGAAGGUUUGUGUCUGUAUGUGCUACUGUGGGUCACAUGCAAUAUGAAGGAAGAACUUUCUGGCAAGUGAACAAUGGUUUGCAAUUUAUAUCUCCACAAAGGACAGCAGCGCUAAGUAUUGUGUGAACAUCAGUGAUUGCAAAGAAGACACGGCACUAAGGGAUCAAGGCAUAAGGACAAGAAUGUCUUGGAAACCCCCCUUCCCCCUGGAGCUGUGCUGCCUGUAGGAAGAAACUCUGAACCUACAAGAAGGCUGCUGUGCAAACCCUCAAGAGGCCUUGAGAGAAACCAUGUGGAACCAUGAACUCACCAUCUUGGUAGCCAGAGGACAGAUGCAGCAAGUCUGGAAUAUUCUGUGCAAGUUGGGAUAUGCUUGAAAAAUAACAAAAGAAGACAAGAUAUAACAGGUGGAAAAAUCUCAAAUGAAAAGAAAUCCUGGACCUGCAGAAAAAGACCAUCAGUUGAGCAAAACAAGAUACUGCUAUCAGGCUGUCUGCAGAUUUAAACCUGAUUUGAAUCCUGCUUUUUCACUGUCAUCAGUCAGCUGGAGGAAUGAAACAGCUAGUGGCCAAAGCAAGGACCAGAUUGUGAAAGGAUUUUAGGUGCCUUCACAUGCAGGUAGGCAUCCAUCAAGAAUUUACAAGUUUCUGUGCAGUAGAAACCAAUUUCACUGAGCUGCUGUACACCUUUAGGAUUGUGGACAAGAGUGAUCCUAAAGCCAUAUGCAGGAACUGAGUUGUAAAAGAUUAACAUUAACAUGUGUGUUCCCUGGUCCCAGACACAGCAAGCAAAGAAAGAGGAAUUCCAGAUGGCAAAGGAAUCUGCAGGGUGCAGAGGGAAGUCCUGCUGCUCUGCCAAGCAGGAGCAGUUUGCUGCUCUGUCCUCAUAUUUAUCUCAAACUCACCAUUUGCUUAUUACAAACACUGUUCAGUCAAAUGUGUCAUUCAGGAGAGAAGAAUUUGAUCUACUUGCAGUAAGAAUUUGUCACUUGAGAGGUGUCUGAAUUCCUCCCUGGAUUCAUUUGCAUGUUUUACCAGUCAAUCAAUGACAGUUCUGCCACAAGAAUAUUUUUCUUACUUCUUAACAGAACUUGUCACUGGCAAGUUACAUCUUUAAGCCAUCUUCUGUGUGUUUUAAGUGAAAAAGUAGUAAUUUACUUCACAGUGUUCACUUUGAAUGACUUAAGCAUCACAAUAAAGGAUUUACAAAAAACA